UCUUUGAAAAUCAUUCCAUUAUAUUAAAUGAAAACACAUGCAAAGCCAUACGAUACACCCUCGGCCGGACUAGCCCCCCCCCACCCCUGAAUCUUUAUCCUCUACCACAUGUUGUUGGGCUUGAUGAAAUACUUACACUUUGAAAGGCAGUGCCACGCUUGUGAUUAAAAUGUCUGUUAAUAUCUCCAGGGUAGCUGUCCAGGGAUAAUAACAAGAGUCCGGAGAAAUGAACCACACACUUCAUUACCCCAAAGUGACUCAUAAACACUCCUGAGCCUCCCUGGGUGUGAAAAGACGUUGAAACUUGCCGACAGGUAGACCUCCUUGGUCCAUCUUCGUGUAUCAGCAGCUGUGUUGCAUUUUAAAAGAAUGGAGAUUUUCUGAGCACUCUGAGAGCAAAUGGGGGCAUCCCAACUCCCCUGGACGACGUGGUUAUCAUAGUUAUCACAGAAAGAUCUGGAGAAAGACCCUCUACAA
rnacentral:lncRNA from 1 species